rnacentral:rRNA from 1 species
AAACCGUUCAGGGGUAAACCUGAGAAACCCAAAAGAUCGAAUGGGGAGGUUCAGCGUCAGCUGUUUUGUUGGCUCACGUGCGGCUCGCGAUGCUCCGCGGCCCCGGCUUUGCGGUCGGGUAGUCGCGGGGCACGCGGUCGCUGCGUCGUGUCCGGCUCAGUCGGCGUGCACUUCUCCCCUAGUAGGACGUCGCGACCCGUUGGGUGUCGGUCUACGGCCCGUGCGAUGUAGCCUGUCGAGCCUGCUGCCGUCGUUUCGGCGACGGUACGCGGUUCGGCAGACUCGCCGGUUUCGCCCGACCGACUGCUCGGCGGUAACGAAUUGUCUUUGUUGAUUACGGUAAAGAGCCGCACUUUGGUGCGUUUUGGCGCGUCGGCAGGCUGGCCUCGCUCGGCAAUUACGGACCUGGUGCCGUUGUCGAGCGCUUUUAACGGCCGGUUACAGUCGACGACGUCCUCGAACGGGCUCUAAAAAUUAUCGGUUUCGACCGGUAUUACCAGUCGGCGACGCUACUGCUUUGGGUA